rnacentral:rRNA from 1 species
UACGGGGGGGGGCAAGCGUUGUUCGGAAUUACUGGGCGUAAAGGGCUCGUAGGUGGCCAACUAAGUCAGACGUGAAAUCCCCUCGGCUUAACCGGGGGAACUGCGUCUGAUACUGGAUGGCUUGAGUUCGGGAGAGGGAUGUGGAAUUCCAGGUGUAGCGGUGAAAUGCGUAGAUAUCUGGAGGAACACCGGUGGCGAAGGCGGCAUCCUGGACCGGUAUUGACGCUGAGGCGCGAAAGCUAGGGUAGCAACGGG